rnacentral:rRNA from 1 species
UACGUAGGGAGCAAGCGUUGUCCGGAAUCAUUGGGCGUAAAGAGCGCGUAGGUGGCUGCAUAAGUCCGUUGUGAAAGUCAAAGGCUCAACCUUUGAAAGCCGAUGGAUACUGUGGAGCUAGAGUACGGAAGAGGCGAGUGGAAUUCCUGGUGUAGCGGUGGAAUGCGCAGAUAUCGUUUGGAGCGCCAACGGUGAAAACAGACAGCUGGGAGUGUGCUGACGCUGAGACACGAAAGCCAGGGGAGCGAACGGG